UACGGGGGGAGCAAGCGUUGUUCGGAUUUACUGGGCGUAAAGGGCGCGUAGGCGGCGCAACAAGUCACUUGUGAAAUCUCCGGGCUUAACUCGGAAAGGUCAAGUGAUACUGUUGUGCUAGAGUGCGGAAGGGGCAACUGGAAUUCUCGGUGUAGCGGUGAAAUGCGUAGAUAUCGAGAGGAACACCUGCGGCGUAGGCGGGUUGCUGGGCCGACACUGACGCUGAUGCGCGAAAGCCAGGGGAGCGAACGGG
rnacentral:rRNA from 1 species